rnacentral:rRNA from 1 species
GAUGAACGCUGGCGGCGUGCCUAAUACAUGCAAGUCGAGCGAACAGACGAGGAUCUUGCUCCUCUGACGUUAGCGGCGGACGGGUGAGUAACACGUGGAUAACCUACCUAUAAGACUGGGAUAACUUCGGGAAACCGGAGCUAAUACCGGAUAAUAUAUUGAACCGCAUGGUUCAAUAGUGAAAGACGGUUUUGCUGUCACUUAUAGAUGGAUCCGCGCCGCAUUAGCUAGUUGGUAAGGUAACGGCUUACCAAGGCAACGAGGCGUAGCCGACCUGAGAGGGUGAUCGGCCACACUGGAACGGGAACACGGUCCAGACGCCUGCGGGAGGCAGCAGUAGGGAAUCUUCCGCAAUGGGCGAAAGCCUGACGGAGCAACGCCGCGUGAGUGAUGAAGGUCUUCGGAUCGUAAAACUCUGUUAUUAGGGAAGAACAAAUGUGUAAGUAACUAUGCACGUCUUGACGGUACCUAAUCAGAAAGCCACGGCUAACUACGUG